UAGAGUUUGAUCCUGGCUCAGAUUGACCCUUUGAGGCAUGCCUUACACAUGCAAGUCGAACGGCAGCACGCCUUAACCUGGUGGCGAGUGGCGAACGGGUGAGUAAUGCAUCGGAACGUGCCAUUGAGUGGGGGAUAACGUAGCGAAAGUUGCGCUAAUACCGCAUAUUCUGUGAGCAGGAAAGCAGGGGACCGCAAGGCCUUGCGCUCUUUGAGCGGCCGAUGUCAGAUUAGCUAGUUGGUGAGGUAACGGCUUACCAAGGCGACGAUCUGUAGCGGGUCUGAGAGGAUGAUCCGCCACACUGGAACUGAGACACGGUCCAGACUCCUACGGGAGGCAGCAGUGGGGAAUUUUGGACAAUGGGCGCAAGCCUGAUCCAGCCAUGCCGCGUGAGUGAAGAAGGCCUUCCGGUUGUAAAGCUCUUUCGGCCGGGAAGAAAUCGCAUGGGUUAAUACCCUGUGUGGA
rnacentral:rRNA from 1 species